ACGAAGGGGGCUAGCGUUGCUCGGAAUGACUGGGCGUAAAGGGCGCGUAGGCGGAUUGUACAGUCAGACGUGAAAUUCCUGGGCUCAACCUGGGGGCUGCGUUUGAUACGUAUAGUCUUGAGUGAGGAAGAGGGUUGUGGAAUUCCCAGUGUAGAGGUGAAAUUCGUAGAUAUUGGGAAGAACACCGGUGGCGAAGGCGGCAACCUGGUCCUUUACUGACGCUGAGGCGCGAAAGCGUGGGGAGCAAACAGGAUUAGAUACCCUGGUAGUCCACGCUGUAAACGAUGUGUGCUGGAUGUUGGGUGACUUAGUCACGCAGUGUCGUAGCUAACGCGAUAAGCACACCGCCUGGGGAGUACGGCCGCAAGGUUG
rnacentral:rRNA from 1 species